rnacentral:rRNA from 1 species
CCUACGGGCGGCAGCAGUGAGGAAUAUUGGUCAAUGGACGAGAGUCUGAACCAGCCAAGUAGCGUGAAGGAUGACUGCCCUAUGGGUUGUAAACUUCUUUUAUAUGGGAAUAAAAUGUUCCACGUGUGGGAUUUUGUAUGUAACAUAUGAAUAAGGAUUGGCUAAGUCCGUGCCAGCAGCCGCGGUAAUACGGAGGAUCGGAGCGUUUUCCGGAUUUAUUGGGGUUAAAGGGAGCGUAGGUGGAUUGUUAAGUCAGUUGUGAAAGUUUGCGGCUCAACCGUAAAAUUGCAGUUGAAACUGGCAGUCUUGAGUACAGUAGAGGUGGGCGGAAUUCGUGGUGUAGCGGUGAAAUGCUUAGAUAUCACGAAGAACUCCGAUUGCGAAGGCAGUUCACUGGACUGCAACUGACACUGAGGCACGAAAGUGUGGGUAUCGAACAGGAUUAGAUACCCCAGUAGUC